GAUUGGAAGGGCUGGUAAGGAGGUCCAGGAAAUAACUCUCACGUAUGGACCGUACCCCAAACCGACACAGGUGGGCAGGUUGAAUAUACCAAGGCGCUUGAGAGAAUGAUGUUGAAGGAACUCGGCAAAUUGCCCCCGUAACUUCGGGAGAAGGGGGCCCACCGUGAAGGCAACUUUACGGUGGGGGCACAGACUAGGGGGUGGCGACUGUUUACUAAAAACACAGGGCUCUGCGAAGUCGCAAGACGACGUAUAGGGUCUGACGCCUGCCCGGUGCCGGAAGGUUAAGAGGAGAUGUGCAAGCAUUGAAUUGAAGCCCCGGUAAACGGCGGCCGUAACAAUAACGGUCCUAAGGUAGCGAAAUUCCUUGUCGGGUAAGUUCCGACCUGCACGAAUGGUGCAACGAUCUGGACACUGUCUCAGCCAUGAGCUCGGUGAAAUUGUAGUAUCGGUGAAGAUGCCGAUUACCCGCAGCGGGACGAAAAGACCCCGUGAACCUUUACUA
rnacentral:rRNA from 1 species